rnacentral:rRNA from 1 species
GCCACGGCUAACUACGUGCCAGCAGCCGCGGUAAUACGUAGGUGGCGAGCGUUGUCCGGAAUUAUUGGGCGUAAAGAGCAUGUAGGCGGUUUCUUAAGUCUGGAGUGAAAAUGCGGGGCUCAACCCCGUAUGGCUCUGGAUACUGGGAGACUUGAGUGCAGGAGAGGAAAGGGGAAUUCCCAGUGUAGCGGUGAAAUGCGUAGAUAUUGGGAGGAACACCAGUGGCGAAGGCGCCUUUCUGGACUGUGUCUGACGCUGAGAUGCGAAAGCCAGGGUAGCGAACGGGAUUAGAUACCCCGGUAGUCCUGGCCGUAAACGAUGGGUACUAGGUGUAGGAGGUAUCGACCCCUCCUGUGCCGGAGUUAACGCAAUAAGUACCCCGCCUGGGGAGUACGUCCGCA